ensembl:lncRNA
GGGUUGCAACACGGCAGCACCAGCAGCGUAUUCCUCUCCAGAAUGGAUAUCUGGGUCCUGGACGUGCUUGUUGGCCACGAGGUCGCCGCCUUUCCGCACGUCGACCAUUGAAAUACAGGACGGGAAAGCGGGCACAAGACGUCAGACUGGUGUCUCUUCUUCUUUUUCUUCUUCUUCUUAUGCUUCCUCGGAGGGGGUAAAACGUGGCCUGGCUGGGCGACUUCUUUCGGUCAACAAUGGGUGAGGAUAAUCGUACAACAUUUGGGAGUCGUGCAAUAACCUGCGCAAAGUGCUAAAUAAACAGGGGCGGUGGUGGUGGUGAUGGACGCCGAUCUCCAACUUCGUACGCAGCCGCGGUCUUAAGACCAGACGGUCCCGUCAAAUUAGCAGUGUGCGUCGGAUCCCGGUCACCCGCUGCCCGCCGGGAUGCGGACGCCCACCGGGGAUCGCCCACCACGGGGAAGACAACAGAUUUACAGCCACCGGGGUCAGCUGUGUAACAGAGCUUGGGUGGAGCGGAUCCCUUUACUGCUCCUCUCUGUGCGGUGUGGGCGUCUCUGUGUGUCUGGCAACACGCUGCGUGUCUGCAUGCACGUGGUACGUCAAGGUGAUAUUAACUCCUGCCAGUGUGCCUGUCCAGCACAGAGUCUACCUUAAAGAUCUCCUCACCAUCCUGAAAACCUUUAAGCUCUGUUCUGAAUUGCAUGUAGCUUAAAAGAACAUCCAGUCCCAUCCAGGAGGGAAAACCAUGAACAACACAGAGCCGUUUGGGGGAAGCAGCAUGCAACGUGUGGAGACAUCAGAGGUGCAGACUGUAUAUUUAGUGCAGAGCAAAUUCAGCGUUGCGUCGACUUCACAGCAGAUGUUUCUAGUCAAAAUAAAAGGAUGCAAUGAAUAACUCCCAACAAUGUGAUAUUGUAAUGCGGGAGGGGGGGAGUCUAUAUGCUAGACAAAUAUUUCGCAUUUUCAAAUGAAGAUGGUGAAACGUUAACACCGCAAGACAACACCAAACUAAGUGUAAUUAAGAACAUUUGAAUAAAUCAGUAAAAUGUGCAUUGUGGUAUGCUUGAUUGCAAUAAUGACACUGACGCUUGUUUUUUACCCCCUGUGUAUGUGUGUGUGUGUGUGUGUGUGUGUGUGUGUGUGUGUGUGUGCGAAAGUGUGCCCACUGCCAGUCAUCUUAACCUCAAGCAGUUUGUUGCUGACUGUAUGUCACCUAGCAAAGUGUUUUAAAGAUGUGCGUGUGUGUGUACAUGUGUGUGCGUGCAUGUGCAGACUCAAUCCUGAUCAUGGUGUCGUCAUGGAGACAGAAUGGUGUUCCUAUCAUUACUGUCCCUGCUCUACGCUUUUACAACAG